CGUUUACGCAGCUCCUGGCCAGGUUCAUGGCGGCCAAAGGAAACUGAGAAGAAACUAGUACAGGAUAUUUUUCAUAGAACAUUUCUCAGACCGGAGCUAGAUCGUCAGACACAAAUCGCCUGCUUUUCAUCGCCAGUCUUUACGCGGUGCGCCGUAUGUACAUGACCAUUCUCAACGCGUUUAUAGUUUUUAAAUAACGAUAUGGCAAUAUUCGACCUCCUGCUAUGCCCGGAACGAUACGCAACCAAAGCCGUCAGACUCAGUUUUCUAUGACUAGCUGGACGUUGCUACAGCUGUAGCGUCCCCCCCCUUCAGAAACCUGGCCACCUGGCCGGGGCUAACCUCCGCUAGGGUCCUCAGACGGUAGUGUGGGAUUCGGGGCGGUGCUGCGUUCAGCCGCCGUUGUAAGUUCUUUGCCGAACACACAUAGCGCCGGGCUCAACCGCGUUCUAUCUUGUCGGGUAGCUCUAUAACCAUAGAGAAUUUGAUAGACCUCAAUGUCCCAGUUGUCUUCCUUGUCGUUGAUGCAUUUGCGUAGGCCUGUCAACAGUACCCUGACAAGACGCUCUGCCUGCCCGUUGCUCUGAGGUGAGUAGGCAGCGGUGUGUCGAUGUGCGAUUCUCUGCUCUCGUAGCAGGUGGGCAAACUCGCCAUCCCAUUCUCGACCUUGAUCCGUCAUCACCAUUUCUGGCGAUCCAUAGCGUGUCACCCACUGUUGCCAGAACCAUGAUGCAGUGGUGCUAGCUUUCUUAUCCGGCAGGGGUCCUGCCUCGGGCCAUUUAGACCAUGAGUCUACAGCCACGAUCAGAUAGCUGUUGCCGCGGGGUGUCUCCUUGUAAGGUCCCAUCAGAUCAACAUGUACUCUUCCCCACAGUGGUACCACCGGAAGGGGGCGAAGUCGUGGUUGCCGUACAAGCCUCAGCUUGCCAGGUGCACACUUCUGACACUUGGCCACGUGUGUCUGCACAUCUUGUCGCAUGUUCUCCCAAAAGAAACGCUUGCGGAGAAAGUCAUAGGUCUUGCCGACUCCCCAAUGAGCCAUGUCGUGGGCCUCUUGAAGCGCUGCCAGGCGUUCCUCAGGUUUGAGAACUCGCACCCGUGAUUGCUUAUCCGAGCUCAGCUUCCACAGCCGGCCAUUUGAAAGUUCAUACCGAGCAGCCUUUUUGCGUAAUCUUGUCAUCUCCCUCAAAUUGUCUUCCCCGGACGCCGAAACGUCAACAGGAAGCUUGCCAGAUUCUAAGUAUCGAAUCAAUGCUUUAUCCUGCCAAAUUUCUGUAGGGGUAAGAGGUCCAGGCUUCGGCGUCUCGCCGGAGCUGUUACCACUAUCUGGGGUAAAAACAUUGGAAUCCGGACCUGAGUCGCUCUCCUUGCUUGAGGAAGACAAGGAAGGAGAAGGUGACGGGGUCAAACCCUGAGUAGGAAUACGGUCGGCCAUGGGGCGACCUGGGGUGGCCCGGGGGUGAAUGAUGGCUGGACCUCCAGCCAAUCGCUGAUCAGCAGGACGGGGCGUGUCCAGGGUGGGCAGGGGUCGGGAAAAUCGCACCCGCUUGGCUGGCGUAUCGCCAGGGCCAGAAGACAGACGAUGCUUUGCAGAGUGUUGAGCUGGUUUGCUAUUAUGAAGUGGGCAGAACCAUGGCCCAGCCGGUACCACAGACAAUGGUGGAUCUAGACACGUAGUGUGCCAGCCCAGACAGCAGGUAGGCUCAUCGCAGAGCAGAAGAGUGGAUGUCGGCCGUCCUCGUAGACAGACCGAACAGAUCAUUCCGGGGUCAUCAUCAGUAUUGGUGCUUUCGGAAGCAGGUGGCUCCGCGUAAUCUGCUAAACGUGGAUUGACAGUGUGACGGCGACGGUGUUGCCGUGCGUGUUGUGCUGCAGGUAUCUCAUCUGGUGUUCCAGAUGUCAGACGAGCUGACCUAUCCAAGCGUCGCUUGCCACGCGGGACCAGUGGUCUGGUUGCUUCACGCAAGGGGUUGUGCUCUGGUGUAGGCGACGAUAGAGCCGGAGGCUGGUGUACAGCCACCCUGGUCGGCUCAUCCGGUAUAAUGCCGCGGCUACACUCCUCUUCCUGUUCAGUUAUGAGGAUCUGAACCUCGGAGGUGAUGGCUGCAAUUGAGCAUGCCAAGAUGGCGGCAUCCUCAAGUGGGUCCGGACUGGGGUCGAUCUCUGUAGGCAAAUUACGGUGGGGCUCCAUCAGAUGUCCCAAGCGGCUCAAACCAUCCACGUUUGAAUUCUUGCGUCCGGCCUUAUGCAUCACUUCAAAGUCGUAGGCUUGAAGCUUGAGCGCAUAUCGAGCCAGCUUUCCCAGAAGAUCUCGAGCGCGUGCAGUCCGCAAAGACCGAACCGCCAUCGAAUCCGUGAUGAGUACAAAAAGAGUGCCGUACAAGUAGGGGUGAAAGUGUUUAAUUGCCCAUAAGGCAGCGUAGGCCUCUCCAUCUGCCGCGCUGUAAUUCAGCUGUGAGCCAGUCAUAGCCUUACUAGCAAACUGAACGGCGUAUUCAUAUCCUUUGUUGUCCUGCUGGGCCAGGCACGCGGCGACGGCAGUGCGGCACCAGUCGACUUGGACCAAGAACGGGCGUCGGAAAUCAGGUGCGCGGAGAACAGGCUCCCCCAGCAAAGCAUUACGUAGCUCUUGGAAAGCGUCCUCUUCUCGCGGACCCCAGCACCAGGGUGUCCCCUGCUUAAGUAGUGCAUACAAUGGCUGUGCAAUCAAGCCGAAGCCAGGGAUAAGUUCCCGGUAGUAACCAACAGCUCCCAGCCAAGCUCGUACUUCGCGAACAUUGGAUGGCGACGGAAGUUCUGCAAUUUUCAUGACGUUGGUGGGGUUAGGUCCCACGACACCACGUACUCCGUCAAGCAGAUGACCAAGGAAAACCACGCGUUGUUGGCCAAACGUGCACUUCUUAGCUGCGAUCUUGAGACCAGCCAUUCGGAGAAGGUCGAACACUUGCUGAAGAUGUCGUACAUGAUCUUGUAGUGUUGGGCUGAAGAUAAGGAUAUCAUCCAGAUAAACCACUACACACCGUUCCCGCGGUGGGCUAUCCAAUGAAGCAGGGGGUGGAGGCGAAUCCUCUAUUAGUGGGCCCAGAACCUUGUGCAUCAGGGUAGCGAACACGGCGGCUGCUCCCUUUAGACCCAUGGGCAUUCGUACAUAUCGAUACUGAGCUGUGGGCGUGGCAAAUGCCGUACGCUCCUUAGAAGCCUCGUCCGCCAUCGGGACUUGCCAGUAGCCCGACUUCAAGUCCAGGCUGGAGUAGUAACGAGUCUCGCCACCCGGAGGUGCAGCAAUAUCCAAAAUAUCCUGGAUGUGGCCUAUCGGAAACCGGAUGUCCUUAGUGACGUCGUUGACCCUCCGCAUAUCUACACAGGGCCGGAGUUCUCCGUUUUUCUUGGGAACGACUACGACUGGAGACACCCAAGGACUGUUGGACAGUUCGAUGAUUCCGUCCUGUAGCAUCUGCCGCAUCUCAGCAUCAACGGCGGCUUUCUCCGUUCGUGACAGACGGUAAGGAUUCUGCACGAUAGGAGGAUGAUCUCCUGUGUCCACCUUCAUGGACACCCAGGACGUAAGCCCUAGCUCUCGGUUGGUUAAGGCGAACAUGUCAAAGUUGUCAGUCAAACAUGCGACCAGCUGCUGGUGGUCGAGGUACUGAAGAUCGGUGUUUACUUUGCUGCUUAGCAACUCGCGUAGCUCAGGGGUAGGGCUCUUGACUGGCCGAACCGCACGGGCUACCAACCCGCGAAAAUGAGCCUCCUCUAAAUGUCCGUCAUGAUCCAAGCCGUCUGNNNNNNNNNNNNNNNNNNNNNNNNNNNNNNNNNNNNNNNNNNNNNNNNNNUUCCCGGUAGUAACCAACAGCUCCCAGCCAAGCUCGUACUUCGCGAACAUUGGAUGGCGACGGAAGUUCUGCAAUUUUCAUGACGUUGGUGGGGUUAGGUCCCACGACACCACGUACUCCGUCAAGCAGAUGACCAAGGAAAACCACGCGUUGUUGGCCAAACGUGCACUUCUUAGCUGCGAUCUUGAGACCAGCCAUUCGGAGAAGGUCGAACACUUGCUGAAGAUGUCGUACAUGAUCUUGUAGUGUUGGGCUGAAGAUAAGGAUAUCAUCCAGAUAAACCACUACACACCGUUCCCGCGGUGGGCUAUCCAAUGAAGCAGGGGGUGGAGGCGAAUCCUCUAUUAGUGGGCCCAGAACCUUGUGCAUCAGGGUAGCGAACACGGCGGCUGCUCCCUUUAGACCCAUGGGCAUUCGUACAUAUCGAUACUGAGCUGUGGGCGUGGCAAAUGCCGUACGCUCCUUAGAAGCCUCGUCCGCCAUCGGGACUUGCCAGUAGCCCGACUUCAAGUCCAGGCUGGAGUAGUAACGAGUCUCGCCACCCGGAGGUGCAGCAAUAUCCAAAAUAUCCUGGAUGUGGCCUAUCGGAAAUCGGAUGUCCUUAGUGACGUCGUUGACCCUCCGCAUAUCUACACAGGGCCGGAGUUCUCCGUUUUUCUUGGGAACGACUACGACUGGAGACACCCAAGGACUGUUGGACAGUUCGAUGAUUCCGUCCUGUAGCAUCUGCCGCAUCUCAGCAUCAACGGCGGCUUUCUCCGUUCGUGACAGACGGUAAGGAUUCUGCACGAUAGGAGGAUGAUCUCCUGUGUCCACCUUCAUGGACACCCAGGACGUAAGCCCUAGCUCUCGGUUGGUUAAGGCGAACAUGUCAAAGUUGUCAGUCAAACAUGCGACCAGCUGCUGGUGGUCGAGGUACUGAAGAUCGGUGUUUACUUUGCUGCUUAGCAACUCGCGUAGCUCAGGGGUAGGGCUCUUGACUGGCCGAACCGCACGGGCUACCAACCCGCGAAAAUGAGCCUCCUCUAAAUGUCCGUCAUGAUCCAAGCCGUCUGGGGCAAGGGCAGCUGGUAUGUUCGCAUCAAACUGUGCUGCCACAGCAUGGCUGUGGGUAACGGAAGCACACUCCUCAGUUAGCAAUCGUGGUAACAGGAGCUCUCGCGAACUCAAGACGGGAGUAGCUUCAGGAAAAGAACGGAAUGGAUCCGCAGGGGUCGAUAUUGGCAGUCCAGGUCCGGAGUGCGAGUCAUUGUCGUACUCGAACUCAUCUCCAGGCCAGACAUUUGCCCGAGCCUCUUCACUGCCAGAACUGACGACGCUGUCGGUACUCCAUGCAUCCGCAGCCCAUUCGCCGCUGGAGGCAUUUUCUGACGGAAUCUCGUCUGACCUAAGCACUUGCCGUACAAGUAUGCCGACGAUGUGUUCCAUGUCCAUGUCCCCACGGGCUGUCGAAUCACCAUCACUAACCUCUCCGCUGCUUGCCUCAGGCGAAUCAAUGGUCUCAGGCGCGGAGCCUCUAUUGAUAGCCGCAGGUGACAUCUGCCCUUGUGGCGUGGGCGUCUCAGGCCGCUGUACUGAUGCCUCGGCCGUCAACAUGGAAGCUGGUUGAGUGUCGUCUUGCUCAGGUGAGUCGUCCCAAAGUCGAGCAGACGGGGAAAUAUUAGAGCCGGGGCUCCGAAGAAAAUGGAUAGCAAUGUUGGACCGCUGAUCCCGGUCAUUGGUGUAUUCCAGACGACCACUGUCGUACGAAAUACUUGCUCGUAUUGGGUAGAGGAAGUCGGUGCCCAGGAGUAGCUGAUAGUUGAGGGCGGUGCUGACGAACGGACUCAGCAGCGUCGUUAGGUCGCCAGUGGACACUUGCAGUUCACUGACACGUCCAGCGGCCCGACCACGAUUGCCAUCCGCAUUCAGGAACGUCACCUCCGUCUCCUCCAUCAGGUGUAGAAGAUCUAAACGCCGUAGUGUGUCUCGUGUAACAACGCUAUGAGAAGCCCCAGAAUCGAUGACAGCAGGGACGGGAACUUGUCCUCCAUGUCCGUCAAUUAUCCAUACGGUAGCUUUGCAAACUUGCCAGGGUGGUACGACGGCAUCAGACUUCCAGGCGGGUAUUGUUGAAGAUGGUCGCUCUGAAAGAGAAGCUUGCAUGGUGCCUGCCGCAGGCCUCGCUGGACCAAACAUGGGCCCAGGCUGGGGGUUGCCAGUGUUGGUGUGCUGACGAGCCAACCCAAGGACUCGGCUGCCAACCUUCGUGUAGAUGCUGAUAGGGUUGCAUCGUAGAGUUGUACCCAAUGGUAGUGCAUACUUGUUGACUUUAUGAAUGAUGUCCUCAGCAAUACGCCGUUCUUCUUCUUGUGGGUCCGCAGGGAUCGGAUCGGUGCGGCUGCCAGACUCAGCUACUCGUCGUCGGAGACGAGGUUCAGUGCUGGCAAUGCCUCGCUGAGCUGGGACGGUACCUCCGGUUGCGGCAGUGCGCUCUGGAGGUGGCGCACCCGGGGCUGCUGGCUCUUGUGGCUGAUGAGCCUGGGUAGCCGUAGCUGGGGUAUUCGGGGAAGCCAACGGUGUCACCACGGGUCGUGCAAUGCCUAUACGCCCGGUAGUAGCAGGCCGAGGCGUAUCCUGGCCAGGGGUAGCCGUUGGGCGCUUGCGGGGAAGCGGUAUAGGCUCAAAAUCGGCCACACGUUUGACAUAGGCGGCUGGUGGGGCAGCCGGCCGGAAACAAGAGUAGAUGUCCGGAUGCUCCAUCUGGGAAAAAUGUGGGUCUUCAUGGUGAGUGUUAUCCCUUUCCCACAAUUGUACAUUAGGGUUGUGCUCCAGCAACAGGGUUAAUCGUGACAACUGGCGGGCGAUGUCGUCAACUCGUGACUCCAGGGGUUCAUUCUCUGGGGGUGUCGAAACCUUAGGUUUUGGGCGACUCUGCCAGGGAGCAUUCCCAGCGGGCUUCUGCUCUGGUUGCCGUGGUCCCAUGGGACGUUGUGUAGCCACUGGAGUUCGGGGACCAUCCGGUCGUGAGCCGCUAGGGGUUGGGAAAUCAGGUACAUUACCACGAAGGUUGCCGUGACGGUUUUCCCAGCGCGGGGUAGCCCGAGAAGGAUGGCUGU
rnacentral:lncRNA from 1 species